GGCGGGGCGGAGAGGUUGAUGGCAGAAGGGGACCAGCUGUGGUGUUCCCCCCCACAAAAAAAAAAAAAAAAAAAAAAAAACCGAAAUCGUUUUUUUUUUUUUUUUACAGCGGUGUGAGGAAAAGUGGGUGCCAGCUGGGUGGAGGAGUCGGGUGUCAGCCCUCUCUGCAGCCAUCGCUGUCACUGGGUUUCCCCACACCGCGGGACCUGUCGCAUCCUCAGGCGGCUCAUACCCAGACAGACACCAAAUGUUUGCUGUCAGGACCUUGCCGUUAAAUCUUCACUUGAGGGUCAAGCCCUUUAAUUCUUCUUCGUGCUGAUCUCGCCAGGUGGGCGCUUUUGGUUUGGAGAUGGUGGUUGUGGGCUGUUGGGUCCCCACGGUGUUGCCACAUAUAGCAGGUGUGGGCAACGCUGCAUCGGCAGCCUUGCAUGCUCGCAUAGAAGCUGCAGGAUUAGGCCUGUGCUGCGAGGAAUGGGAAUCUGAGAAAUCAGAGAGGAAGUUUGUAACAGAAUCCUUUGACAGUGAAGAGACUCCUCAAGGACACAGGAAGGAACAAAUUUGACUUUAAUGCCAGAAGACUUCUAGGGGAUACUUAUCCUUUGCAGCAGGAAAAAGUGAUUUCUUACAUUUCUGCCUCUUCUAAUUUCAGUAAUCCCUCCAGUGUCAUAGCUAAGAAAGAGAAGACUUUUGUGAAUUUCUUCUGGAACUGCAAUUUUUUGCAUGUGGUGUAAUUUUUUGCCAGUGAGAGAUAAAUUGAUGGGAUGUUUUGGGCAUCUUUUGGGGAGUAGAACCUUGGAAGGUCACCUGUAUGGAGGCAGGUAUAUAAAUAAUUACAUAUAAAGCUGA